rnacentral:tRNA from 1 species
GGCCUGUUAGCUCAGUCGGCAGAGCGUGGUGCUAAUAACGCUAAGGUCAUGAGUUCGAUCCUCACACAGGCCA